rnacentral:lncRNA from 1 species
GAAUCAGAAAGGAAAAAAAAGGAAGUCUAUUGAACAAUGAGAACAAAAGCAUUUUUAAUGUUUUUUUUUAAUAUUUUUUGUUUGCUGGUUUCUUUGAGAUGGAGACUGACUCUACUGCCCAGGCUGAGGGCAGUGGCACGAUUUUGCCUCACGGCAACCUCUACCUCCCAGGUUUAAGCGACUCUUGUGCCUCAGCCUCUCAAGUAGCUGGAACUAAAGGUGCACACCACCACCCCCCGGCUAACUUUUGUAUUUUUAGUAGAGAUGGGGUUUCACCAUGUUAGCCAGGGUGCUCUUGAACUUCUGACCUUAGGUGAUCCACUCACAUCAGUCUACCAAAGUGUUGUGAUUGCAGGGAUGAGCCACCAUCCAGCUUUGAUAUCCUUUUUUUUUUUUUUUUUUUGAGACAGAUUCUCACUGUCGCCCAGGCCGGAGUGCAGUGGCACGAUGUUGGCUCCCUGCAAGCUCCGUCUCCAGGAUUCACACCAUUCUCCUGCCUCAGCCUCCCAAGCAGCUAGGACUACAGGCACCUGCCACCACGCCUGGCUAAUAUUUUAUAUUUUUAGUAGAGAUGGGGUUUCACCGUGUUAGCCAGGACGGUCUCGAUCUCCUGACCUUGUCAUGGGCCCGUCUCGGCCUCCCAAAGUGCUGGGAUUACUUACAUGAGCCUCCGUGCCUGGCCUGAUCUCCCUUUUAUAAAGUACUAUAUCAAAAAAGUACUAUCUCUUUAAAAAGUACUAUCUCAAAAAAGAAAAAUAGAAAAUAAGAAUCAAAAAACAGGCUGGGAAAAGUGGCUGACAUCUGUUGGCCAUGCUGGUUUCAAACUUCUGACCUCAAGUGACCUAUGUGCCUUGGCCUCCAACCGUGCUGGAAUUACAGGUGUGAGAAACCACACCUGGCCCAAUCCUCUUAACAUAAACACUUGAAUGUCAAUUAAGGGUUGAACUCAAUGUUAAGUCAACACAAACUCAAGUCAAUGCUGGACUGACUCUAGUGUCAAUUAAUGCUUGAUGGUUUGCUAUACUCACUGCAUUGGGAACAGUUAUCUCAAAAAUGAAUUUUCUGAUGUUCUGCAAGGAGUGACCUCGGACUCAAGACCUUGCCACACUUCUGACAUUUGUAAGAUUUCUGUCCAGUAGGGAUUCUCUGAUGUCUAAU